CAGGCCUAACACAUGCAAGUCGAGCGGCAGCGGGAAAGUAGCUUGCUACUUUUGCCGGCGAGCGGCGGACGGGUGAGUAAUGCCUGGGGAUCUGCCCAGUCGAGGGGGAUAACAGUUGGAAACGGCUGCUAAUACCGCAUACGCCCUACGGGGGAAAGCAGGGGACCUUCGGGCCUUGCGCGAUUGGAUGAACCCAGGUGGGAUUAGCUAGUUGGUGGGGUAAUGGCUCACCAAGGCGACGAUCCCUAGCUGGUCUGAGAGGAUGAUCAGCCACACUGGAACUGAGACACGGUCCAGACUCCUACGGGAGGCAGCAGUGGGGAAUAUUGCACAAUGGGGGAAACCCUGAUGCAGCCAUGCCGCGUGUGUGAAGAAGGCCUUCGGGUUGUAAAGCACUUUCAGCGAGGAGGAAAG
rnacentral:rRNA from 1 species